UGGUAAUGUCUACCAUUACAGAACAUGUGGUGUGGCAUGAGACCACCAUGGAGAGAAUUUCCUGGCCAUACUUAAUGAAGCGAGGUUGAGAUAUGGCAUCACACGUUUUCGGUUUUGACACCAUCGAUGGGAGCCAAGCUUGAUCCUCAUUCACAAUGUGCCCCAUCACCCACCCACCACUAAAACACAGAGCCGGCUGGUGCCCAUGGGGUCUAAUAGGGCAGAAGGCAAGGAGACCAACAUUAGUUGGCGCCAGAACCAAUGACGGCCAGAGCCAACUCACUCUAAUUUUGCUCCUGUUCUUCUGCCUGCUAAGUUCUACAAGGGCAACAGUGAGCUUGAGGGGGAGGAAGCUGACAGGCAGUUCCACCCACCUGAACUGGUUGCAAAUACAAAGGUAGACAGGCGGGGACUGGCUGAGGGCACACUGACAUUGGCAGGGCGGUGGCCCAUUUACCCAACUGGGCCAGCCUCCCCUGCAAAGCUGUCAUAUUGAGAGUUGGGUCUGGGUGUGGGGAGGGGGCUGAGGAGGGAGUGUGGCCGGGAAAGAGUCCCCAGGGGCAUAUAAGGAGGCCUGGAGGGUCAAAACUGGGCCACUGACUCCCACCCCUACUCUUGUGGAGAGAAGUUCUUCUGAGAGCCAGGUGGGUGAAGAAGGUUCUAUGGCAGUUACAGACAUUUGGAACCUGGUUAGGAGAUUCCAGAAAGCUGAGCUGAGCUGGGGAUGUUCUAUGGAAGAAGGGGUGCAUCCCACUGAGCUUGUUGCUGUGGCCAGAGGAACUGCUGACCCCAGAGGGUGAAAGCAAGCAUCUAAGAAGCAAGCCUAAGUCAUGUACAUGGGAAACAGAGGACUGUGCCUCUGCUGUGUUUGUGACUCUUUCCCACCACUUAAAGAUGCAUUUUACGAAGAAAACAUCACUCACCUUUGAUUCUCCCCAGACAUCCUCCUUGUCAUCAGAAUCUUGAUGUCAAUCAGCACAUUCCUUGGCUUGGUGGCAGCUGCCUGCACACUGCUGUCCAGCACCAGUUUAAGGCUAUCCAGGUGGCCAGCUGUCACCAAUUUAUGCACAGGAAUCAUUUCCCUGGUCACCAUGGUGUUGUACGGCACGUCAAUCUCACCCAACAGCACCUUGGGCAGCCCAAUCCCUCAUACGACCUCUCCAAAGUAUCUCUCCUGGUCCUUUGGGAUAGGCUGCUUGGCCAGCUUCCUGUUCCUGACAAACAUACUCCUGUUCGUCCUGAUAGAACUUGAGGGAAACAACAGCACGCAUGAUAACCUCAAGCCAAAACAACGUCGCCUGAUCUUGGUCACAUAGAAGAGUGUGG